rnacentral:misc_RNA from 1 species
UUUAUUGAUGUUGAAUUUUGGUAUUGGAUACUUUGGUUUCUUAGUUUUAUAGUAAAGAUUUGUACUUGCUUUGAGGAGGAACCUAUGCAAAGUUUAGGUUUAUUUAGUGUGUCCUGUUAGAUGUGGAGAGUUUAGAUGGUGUAUUGGAGGAGAUGAGGUAUGUUAUCUGGAUUAAUGAACUACUUGAGGGCUUGUUUUCAGCCAAGGGCCAAUCGACACGUUCAUACAGGUUCUGAUGCCAGUGGACGUCAAGAUGGGCUACUAUGGUACAAGGAUACAGGGCAACAUUUUAAUGGAGACUUCUCAAUGGCUGUAGUUCAGGCUAAUAAUCUAUUAGAGGAUCAGAGCCAAGUUGAAUCAGGGUGUUUGGGAUUGAAUGAUUCAGGUCCUUAUGGUACCUUUGUUGGAAUUUAUGAUGGACAUGGUGGCCCUGAGACUUCAAGGUUCAUCAAUGAUAACCUCUUUCAGCAUCUCAAGAGGUGUACAUCUGACCAGCAAACUAUGUCUGUGGAGGUGAUCCGGAAGGCAUUUCAAGCCACAGAAGAGGGUUUCCUCUCUAUUGUCACAAGGCGAUGGCCAACACAACCUCAGAUUGCUGCUGUUGGAUCAUGCUGCCUUGUUGGAGUAAUCUGCAGUGGGACAUUAUAUGUUGCCAACCUUGGCGACUCUCGAGCAGUCUUGGGGAGGCUUGUCAAGGCAACUGGAGAGAUUAUUGCUAUACAGCUUUCUGCA